CUACGGGAUGCACCAGUGGGGAAUAUUGCACAAUGGGCGCAAGCCUGAUGCAGCCAUGCCGCGUGUAUGAAGAAGGCCUUCGGGUUGUAAAGUACUCUCAGCGGGGAGGAAGGGAGUAAAGUUAAUACCUUUGCUCAUUGACGUUACCCGCAGAAGAAGCACCGGCUAACUCCGUGCCAGCAGCCGCGGUAAUACGGAGGGUGCAAGCGUUAAUCGGAAUUACUGGGCGUAAAGCGCACGCAGGCGGUUUGUUAAGUCAGAUGUGAAAGCCCCGGGCGCAACCUGGGAACUGCAUCUGAUACUGGCAAGCUUGAGUCUCGUAGAGGGGGGUAGAAUUCCAGGUGUAGCGGUGAAAUGCGUAGAGAUCUGGAGGAAUACCGGUGGCGAAGGCGGCCCCCUGGACGAAGACUGACGCUCAGGUGCGAAAGCGUGGGGAGCAAACAGGAUUAGAUACCCCUGUAGUC
rnacentral:rRNA from 1 species